AAAGCAGGCCAGGCAGUCGCGGCCUCUGCGGUUUCGGCCAAAGAGGGCGAGGAAAGUCCGGACUCCAUAGGGCAGGGUGAUGGCUAACGGCCAUCCGUGGCGACACGCGGAACAGGGCAACAGAAAGCAAACCGCCGAUGGCCCGGCGCAAGCCGGGAUCAGGUAAGGGUGAAACGGUGCGGUAAGAGCGCACCGCGGCUGCUGCAAGGCAGACCGGCACGGUAACCUCCACCCGGAGCAAUUCCAAGUAGGCAGGCUAGCAUCUUCGAGAUGCAGGACGGGGCCCCGGACGCGGCGCGUGCACAGAAUCCGGCUUAUCGGCUUGCUUUGCCA
rnacentral:RNase_P_RNA from 1 species